rnacentral:misc_RNA from 1 species
UUAAGUUCAGCGGUAGUCCUACCUGAUUUGAGAUCAAACGUUCAAAGAGCUGUCCUCGCCGAGGAGAGACAUUUAUGAGCCCCAGCGAACCUUCAUCGCUGAAGGUUACGUGGUGGAAAACCACAAGCGUAGAUAGUUAUCACACUCGUGAUGCCACCAAACACUGGCAAGCUGAUUCAUUUGAGAGGAGCCGACCGCAG